AAAAAAGCAGGAUCCAUUGCCUUUUGUGGAUGGGUCUCUCGUUGACUUCAGGGAAAUUAUUACAUUAUCAUUGGGUGAACCUCUGUAAGCAUGUUAGUGGCAAAAGGUUCAAUAGAUAAUGACACAUUU